ACCGUUCAGGGGUAAACCUGAGAAACCCAAAAGAUCGAAUGGGGAGAUUCAUCGUCAGCUCAUUUUGUAUAUAUAUGAGUUAUGAUAUGGGUUACUACUUGUAGUAUUGCCUGUACAUUCUUGUAUAUUUUAUUGCAAGAUGUUGUCGGCGUGCACUUCUCCCCUAGUAGGACGUCGCGACCCGUUGAGUGUCGGUCUACGGCCCGAGUGGUAGCCUUUAAUUCUUGUAAUUAAAGACCCUUGGUGUUUCCUGGCUGGCUACUCGGCGGUAUUCGUACGGUAUUAAGCCGCAUUUAUGCGUUCAUAUCCGUCGCAAGCGCGGUUAAUUUUUAGUAGUACGGACCUAGUGCCGUCGCUAUAAUUGAUCAGCUGUUGGUUGUAACGGUAUUCUAGAACUGGCUUAACAUAUACCGGUCUGCGAUGCUACUGCUUUGGGUACUUUCAGGA
rnacentral:rRNA from 1 species